AGGGGUUGUUCAAUGAGGCGAUGUCAUCGAAUGCAAAAUUGAUGAGUCAGUGCUCACCUGCUCCCAGUCAAGCAUGAAUCCUCAAAGGACGGAAGGCGUUUACUGAAGGUGUGGAACGCUCUCCCUGCCAAAGUGAUACAUUUAACCACUGUGGGGGAUGAACGUCAUGGGUUGACAGGACAUUGGGCAUUCAACAGCAGUUGGGGGCCCCUAUUCCAGCAGGCCCAGGAUGAAAAACAAACUUGGAUACUGCAUAUGAAAAAAUGAGUCACCAGAUUGUGACAGGACCUGGACAUCCCUGCUGACGAUGCCUUCCCCUCUCAGGACAAGACUGGUAAAAUUGCUUUACCCAUGUAAACCUUGGGGAGUUUGUUGUGAUGUUGUCGCUGUGCCUGGGAUUGAGAAAAAUAAUAGCACCAAUGAACAAAUGUAUGUUUACAAAGGCCUGCUGCAUAUACUUCAAAUUACCUAUCUGCACGGUUGAAUUACAAAAACUUGAUUUGCCAAACUUGUAUAUCUCAAGGCUCUUUGGGUCUCCACUGAGUUAGUUAAAUCCACAUUUAGUUUCAAAGCACCACAUUUGCC
ensembl:lncRNA